rnacentral:rRNA from 1 species
GCCAGUGGUGAACUCCACAUACGCAUCCUUUGCUGAGGAUACGGUUAACGGAGCGAAAGCGACGUUCAACCGCAAAAGAAGCAGAGGGGGCUUAGUGGUGGGGUGACUGCGUACCUUUUGUAUAAUGGGUCAGCGACUUAUAUUCUGUAGCAAGGUUAACCGAAUAGGGGAGCCGGAGGGAAACCGAGUCUUAAUUGGGCGUUAAGUUGCAGGGUAUAGACCCGAAACCCGGUGAUCUAGCCAUGGGCAGGUUGAAGGUUGGGUAACACUAACUGGAGGACCGAACCGACUAAUGUUGAAAAAUUAGCGGAUGACCUGUGGCUGGGGGUGAAAGGCCAAUCAAACCGGGAGAUAGCUGGUUCUCCCCGAAAGCUAUUUAGGUAGCGCCUCGUGAAUUCAUCUCCGGGGGUAGAGCACUGUUUCGGCUAGGGGGCCAUCCCGGCUUACCAACCCGAUGCAAACUGCGAAUACCGGAGAAUGUUAUCACGGGAGACACACGGCGGGUGCUAACGUCCGUCGUGAAGAGGGAAACAACCCAGACCGCCAGCUAAGGUCCCAAAGUCAUGGUUAAGUGGGAAACGAUGUGGGAAGGCCCAGACAGCCAGGAUGUUGGCUUAGAAGCAGCCAUCAUUUAAAGAAAGCGUAAUAGCUCACUGGUCGAGUCGGCCUGCGCGGAAGAUGUAACGGGGCUAAACCAUGCACCGAAGCUGCGGCAGC